CAGUCGCCGCGGUAAAACCAGCACCUCGAGUGGUCAGGAGGUUUAUUGGGCCUAAAGCAUCCGUAGCCGGUUGCAUAAGUUUUCGGUUAAAUCUAUGCGCUUAACGUAUAGGCCGCCGAAAAUACUGUGCAGCUAGGGAGUGGGAGAGGUACACGGUACUCGAUAGGAAGGGGUAAAAUCCUUUGAUCUAUUGAUGACCACCUGUGGCGAAGGCGGUGUACCAGAACACGUUCGACGGUGAGGGAUGAAAGCCGGGGGAGCAAACCGGAUUAGAUACCCGCGUAGUCCCUGUCUCUUAUAC
rnacentral:rRNA from 1 species